UGGGACUGGCCGGUGAACCGAAACCGGAGGAAGGGUGGGGAUGACGUCAAGUCCUCAUCGGCCCUUAUAGGGUGGGGCUACACACGUCAUACAAUGGCCGGUACAGGAGGGUAGCCCAACCCGCGAGGGGGAGCCAAUCCCACAAAGCCGGUCGUAGUCCGGAUCGCAGUCUGCAACUCGACUGCGUGAAGUCGGAAUCGCUAGUAAUCGCGGAUCAGCAUGUCGCGGUGAAUACGUUCCCGGGUCUU
rnacentral:rRNA from 1 species